ensembl:snRNA U6 U6 spliceosomal RNA
GUACUCACUAUGGCAGCAUAUAUACUAAAACUGGACCCAUACGGAGAAGAUUAGCAUAGUCCCUGUGCAAAAUUCAUGAAGCAUUCCAUAUAUUU